CUCAGGAUGAACGCUAGCGGCAGGCUUAACACAUGCAAGUCGAGGGGUAUAGUUCUUCGGAACUAGAGACCGGCGCACGGGUGCGUAACGCGUAUGCAAUCUACCUUUUACAGAGGGAUAGCCCAGAGAAAUUUGGAUUAAUACCUCAUAGCAUUGCAGAAUGGCAUCAUUCAGCAAUUAAAGUCACAACGGUAAAAGAUGAGCAUGCGUCCCAUUAGCUAGUUGGUAAGGUAACGGCUUACCAAGGCUACGAUGGGUAGGGGUCCUGAGAGGGAGAUCCCCCACACUGGUACUGAGACACGGACCAGACUCCUACGGGAGGCAGCAGUGAGGAAUAUUGGACAAUGGGCGCAAGCCUGAUCCAGCCAUGCCGCGUGCAGGAUGACGGUCCUAUGGAUUGUAAACUGCUAUUGCACAGGAAGAAACCACGCUACGUGUAGCGUCUUGACGGUACUGUGAGAAUAAGGAUCGGCUAACUCCGUGCCAGCAGCCGCGGUAAUACGGAGGAUCCAAGCGUUAUCCGGAAUCAUUGGGUUUAAAGGGCCCGUAGGCGGUUUGGUAAGUCAGUGGUGAAAGCCCAUCGCUCAACGGUGGAACGGCCAUUGAUACUGCCAGACUUGAAUUAUUAGGAAGUAACUAGAAUAUGUAGUGUAGCGGUGAAAUGCUUAGAGAUUACAUGGAAUACCAAUUGCGAAGGCAGGUUACUACUAAUGGAUUGACG
rnacentral:rRNA from 1 species